UGCGGUUAAAAAGCUCGUAGUUGGAGUUCUGCCAGGUGCCGCCUGUCCGCCCCAGUGGUGAGUACGUGGCGCGCAUUUGGCCCUUUCAAGGGGAGCGUAUUGCACUUAACUGUGUGGUGCGGGAUCCUUGACUUUUACUUUGAGGAAAUAAGAGUGUUCCAAGCAGGCUCUCGUCGUGCAUAGCUCAGCAUGGAAUAAUAGCAUUGGAUCUCGAUUCCAAACUGUUGGUUGUAGGAAACGAGAUAAUGAUGAAGAGGGAUAGUUGGGGGCAUUCGUAUUUAACUGUCAGAGGUGAAAUUCUUGGAUUUGUUAAAGACGAACUACUGCGAAAGCAUCUGCCAUGGAUGUUUUCAUUGAUCAAGAACGAAAGUUAGGGGAUCGAAGACGAUCAGAUACCGUCCUAGUCUUAACUAUAAACCAUGCCGGCUAGAGAUCGGAGGUUGUUCGUUUUGUGACGCCUUCAGCAUCUUGAGAGAAAUCAAAGCCUUUGGGUUCCGUGGGGAGUAUGGUC
rnacentral:rRNA from 1 species